GAUAGAGGUUCCUAGCAGAACACUUGAAAAGUUUCUAUUUUAUGCAGGACCAGGCUUGGACUAUUAUGAAUGUUGCUGAACACUGUUAAUCAAGCUUACACAGCUAUUUUGAUGGCAAACAAUUAGAACUCUGAAGCAAUACCUUGCAAUUAGCUUCAGGGAUAUGGACCUCAGCACCGUAAUAAUGAAAGAGACCUUCUCCUUCAAGCAAGAUUCUGGGUAGUAUUCUGAGUGAAGAAGGGGAGGAUGAAGAAAAACCAGGAUUUCUUAGAACUUUAAUUUAAGAAUAUGUCAUCUUCAAGAGGAAUCUUACUUCCCUGCUGCGAUUUGGGCUGCACUGAAAAUCAUAAAGCACCAGCCAACUCUGAAUUCCCUUGAAGACUUGCUGUAUUUGCAUAAAAAACAAAAUCUUUUUGUUUAUAUUGUACCUCUACAUUUUUUUUUGCACAAGAGUUUACUGGAGCCUGAUCUCAUGUCAAAUUUCAAAGCACAAUGACUCUGAAGAAGGAAGGGAAGUGCAUUUUUCUUCACAUUCCUGAAAUGUGUAAGUAUUGAUAUCAAGGUCACAUCUUCUGUAGGAAUGUCUAAUACAUUAUUAGGGUCAGAAUAAGUCCAGAAGAGUUUUGUCAAGAAUAGAAACACUUGUGAAUGGCAAAAUCUACACAUAAGAGAACAACUAUAUUUUCUGUGAUUCUGGAAUGCUCUUUUUACAAUAAAUGUGGUUCCCUGGACUUCUGCUACUGUGAUGAAAAUGCAUUUCAGAGAAAGCAAACUUCUGGUAAUUUUCUAAUAUCUAGAAAUACAAAUCCACAGUGCAGAACUCAUUGCAUUAACAUUACCAGUAAAUAACAGUAUUUUUCUCUGUCACAAACAUUUAGCUUGUGUUCCCAAAUACCAUUUUAUUACUUUGAAAAUAGUCCUUAAGAAUUUUCAGUGGAUAAUUGAGCCGUGUGUGUAUUUUAGGACAAAUAUUGGGAAAAGUCAUGUUCAAUACCAAUGUCUAUACCAUUUAAACAAUGAAAGCAUCAGGUAAGUAACAACAUUUGGACAGCAAGUCAAUAUGACUAUGAAAGGUCUCCAAUAAUGAGCAAACUCAAACCAAUACACUGUUUGAGUAUUUGGCCUUCCUAUUGACAAAGGUUGCUUUCAAUCACACUGUAUCUAUUACCAUAUCAAUCAUCACUCUAAAUGAAUACAACAUGAACAUUGACGAAGACAUCACUUAGGCAAAGAAACUAAAGGUUCUAUAAAAACAAAUAAUGAAAGUUUGGUUGAUCACAGCAUGAAAAUUAGACCUAAUCCUUAGUCAUUUUUACUUUGUAAAACAAAUAAAUUUAAACAAAAAAUGUUAGCUCUAUUUCUUUCUAGGAACUUAAAAUAUAUGGAAAUUGAUAUCACAUUCUUAAUUAUUAAACAUAAUGCAAUCCAAUACGUUGUUUGCUACACAAAUUAAGAUAUGGAAUUGAACUGAUGAAAAUGAUUUACGUGCAGGAUUAAAAUAUUGGCAGCUUUAUAGAGUGAAAUGUCACUAUACUGCUGUACCUUCAAGUUUUACAUUUCCUCCUUUGAAUCCCUGUCAGCCUUCAUGAACACUGGAGAGUUUAAUCAAUGCUUGCUGUAGCCAUAGCAUAACACUGAAUAUUUUAUCUGUGUAAUAAUCAUUGUGCAGUUUAGUACAAGUCAAAAGCAGGAAUUAUAAACAGAUAUAUUGCAAUUGACAAGGUUACAUGUUAAAUUACAGUAAAACUAAUUUUUACACGUUUCUAUGGUUCUUUUCUUUUUGUGAAGGCAACCUGUUUUGCAACAGUUCAAUGCACCCUAAGGCAAUCAAAUUGUAUUUAGGAUGACUCAGAGGUCAUAAAAUUCAAACACUUAUGAGUUCAUGUAUUUGAAUUACUUUAAUUUAUAUGAUACAAAACUCUUGUGAAACAAGCAUUUUAUUUGCUUUAUGCACUCCAAAGGGUGGAAUUCAGAUUGUAAUUUGUGCUGCAUUUUUCAAGAUAGUCAAUAUCGACAAUAUCAGCUCUGGAGAGGGAGAAAGAGAUUACCAUCUUGGUGUUGUGGCAGUCUGUUUUCCUUAUAAAAAAACCUUGUGUGAAGCUAAAAUAUAGGCAUGAAUGAGGGAAUAAGGACAGAGACAUAGCAUGAAAUUUAGGAAACUAAAUAGAAAACUGAGUAGAUAAAAAGGUUGUCAAAUACAUUAUUUCCAAAUUUUCAAAUCAAAGCCACUAGUACAGCUAAUUUAAAAGAUAGCUUAAAUUUUUGAUUUGAAAAAAAUUGAAAAAAAUAGGAUAUUUAAUAUAAUAACACCAAGCAAAGAAGAAAGAUUAAGAUAUGUUUGAAAUACAUUAGAAAUAAUUUGCCUUUAAGUAAGUUUAAUUGCUAUAUAUUAACUUUAUUUAAAUAAAUAAAGUUAGUUUUCCAGCCAAUUUUCCCAAAGACAUUAAUCUAUAGAAUAGUCCCAAUACCCGUAAACUACAAACAACUUUAAUAACAUUGCGAGGAAGGAAUAGAAAUAAUAAUUUUGAUUAAAGAGUUCUUAAUUUCUAUUUAAAGAGUAUCCUCUUAUGGGUAUUUUGAUAAACAGGUGCAGUGCAAGGAAUGCAUUAUGUCAUAGAUAUUUAUUCAAAAAUAUGUAGAAAAAACCUACUUCUACUGUCAAUAAUGUUAUUUGUUGCAUUAUUCCUUCAGCACUGAAAUCGAUCUAGUAAGUAUCUAUUGAAUAAAUAUUUUGCCUAGAAAUUUGUUUUGCCUUGAUGUAUGUUACAAGCAUAUAGAUAUUUAAGAACAUAGAAAGUGCUCUGGUCUACCUAGUCAAUCCUCUUGCUAUACCACUCAGCAAGAAGGCUUUAUUUUUCCAGCAGGUGUAUCAGGCUAUAUCAAAUAUUUAAUCCAUCUAUGCAAGGUUGUCAAUUUUAGAAUAUACAUUAAUGGAAGAAUUUUUUUUCUCUGUCUGAUGACACACAGAGUGUCA